AACGCACAUUGCACCUCUCGGUAUUCCGGGAGGUAUGCCUGUUCGAGCGUCAUUUGUACCCUCAAGCUCUGCUUGGUGUUGGGUGUUUGUUCCUCCUUUUGCGUGUGAACUCGCCUUAAAACAAUUGGCAGCCGGCGUACUUGUUUCGGAGCGCAGCACAUUUUGCGCCCCAGAUCAGCGUACGUUGGCACCCAAGAAGCCUUAUUUUAACGCUCUUGACCUCGGAUCAGGUAGGGAUACCCGCUGAACUUAA
rnacentral:misc_RNA from 1 species